AUACAAGUGACCAUGCAGGCAUGAGUAGCGAAAACCAAGUGAGAAUCUUGGUCACCGAAAGCCCAAGGUUUCCUGGGGAAGGUUCGUCCGCCCAGGGUUAGUCGGGUCCUAAGGCAAGGCCGAAAGGCGUAGUCGAUGGAUAACAGGUUAAUAUUCCUGUACUACCUUAUUUUAGUGAUGGAGGGACGCAGUAUGCUAGACGAGCCAACUGUUGAAUUAGUUGGUCGAAGGCCGUAGGGUGUCACGUAGGAAAAUCCGCGUGACAUUAAGCCUGAGAGUCGUAAGAUAGAUUCUUCGGAAUCGAAUUCGUUGAUGCUACGCUGACGAGAAAAGCUUCUAAACGUUUAAGAAAUAAGGUAUCCGUACCGUAAACCGACACAGGUAGGCGAGGCGAGAAGCCUAAGGUGCGCGAGAGAAACCACGUUAAGGAACUCGGCAAAUUAGCCCCGUAACUUCGGGAGAAGGGGUGCCAUUACGGUGAAAGGACUUGCUCCUUGAGCCUACAAUGGUUGCAACAAAGAGGCUGGUGCGACUGUUUAACAAAAACACAGCUCUCUGCUAACUCGCAAGAGGAUGUAUAGGGAGUGACACGUGACCAAUGCCAAAAGGUCAAGGGAAUCUGUCAGCUUAGGCGAAGCAGUGAACUGAAGCCCUGGUGAAUGUCGGCCGUAACUAUAACGGUCCUAAGGUAGCGAAAUUCCUUGUCGGGUAAGUUCCGACCUGCACGAAUCGUGUAACGAUGCCAGCACUGUCUCAACGUGGAUCUCGGCGAAGUUGUAAUUCCGGUGAAAAUGCCGGAUACCCGCAGUAGGACGGAAAGACCCCAUGAACCUUUACUGUAAUCUGAUAUUGGUAUUUGGUUGUUCAUGUGUAGGAUAGGUGGGAGACUUUGAAGCAGACACGUCAGUGUAUGUGGAGUCAAUCUUGAAAUACCACCCUUGUGCAGUUGGAUAUCUAACCGUCUUCCGUGAAACCGGAAGCGGGACAGUGUCAGAGGGUCAGUUUGACUGGGGCGGUUUCCUCCCAAAUUGUAACGGAGGAGCUCGAAGGUACACUCAGCAUGGUUAGCAAUCAUGCGUAGAGCGUAAGGGUAGAAGUGUGCUUUACUGUGAGACCGACAGGUCGAGCAGUUGCGAAAGCAGGACCUAGUGAUCCAGCGGUGGAAUGUGGAAUCGCCGUUGCUCAUCGGAUAAAAGGUACUCCGGGGAUAACAGGCUAAUAGCGCCCAAGCGUCCAUAGCGACGGCGCUGUUUGGCACCUCGAUGUCGGCUCAUCACAUCCUGGGGCUGAAGAAGGUCCCAAGGGUUCGGCUGUUCGCCGAUUAAAGUGGUACGCGAGCUGGGUUCAGAACGUCGUGAGACAGUUCGGUCCUUAUCCACUGCGGGCGCAGGAUAUUUGACAGGACAUUCCCUAGUACGAGAGGACCGGGAAUGAGUAACCUCUGGUGUUCCAAUUGUGUCGUCAGAUGCAUUGUUGGGUAGCUAUGUUACGAAAGGAUAAGCGCUGAAA
rnacentral:rRNA from 1 species